rnacentral:rRNA from 1 species
AGCUAGUUGGUAGGGUAACGGCCUACCAAGGCAACGACGGGUACCGGGCCUUAGAGGGUGAUCGGCCGCACUGGGACUGAGACACUGCCCAGACUCCUACGGGAGGCUGCAGUCGAGAAUCUUCCGCAAUGGGCGAAAGCCUGACGGAGCGACGCCGCGUGAGGGACGAAGGCCUUCGGGUUGUAAACCUCUUUCGUAGAGGAGGAAGGGGCUGUGAAGAGCAGUCCUUGACCGUAUUCUAGGAAGAAGCUUGGGCUAAGUUCGUGCCAGCAGCCGCGGUAAGACGAACCAAGCGAACGUUAUUCGGAAUUACUGGGCUUAAAGCGCGUGUAGGCGGAUGGCCACGUCGGUUGUGAAAUCCCCCGGCUUAACCGGGGAACAGGCACCGAUACGAGUUAUCUGGAGGUGGGUAGGGGAGACUGGAACUUCCGGUGGAGCGGUGAAAUGCGUUGAGAUCGGAAGGAACGCCUGCGGCGAAAGCGAGUCUCUGGCCCCAUACUGACGCUGAGACGCGAAAGCCAGGGGAGCAAACGGGAUUAGAUACCCCGGUAGUCCUGGCUGUAAACAUUGGGCACUGGGUAGUAGAACCGCCGA